CAGUGGGUUUUUAAUUUGUAAAGGUUAGUAGAUUGUCCGUGUCGGUAGAGCUAUAGAAGAGCUACUAGAUUUAAAACCUUACCAUUGUAAAACAACACAUUUCAACUGUUAGGGCUUCGUGAAAAGACAAAACCAAUCCUGUAAAAUACAUCGUAGAAUGUGAUCCCGUUUUGUAAGAGUGUUUACAUGAUUGUAGGGUUCGGAUUCCUUUUACAUUCUCUCUGUCAGCGUCUACAUUGUUUCCUAGCUACUGGGGUUAGGAUUAGGAACGGGGUUAAAGUUAAGGACUGGGCAAGUGUUAGAGUUAGAAUCAGGUUAGGAUUAGGGUUAAGGUUGGGAUCAGGUUAGGAUUAGGGUUAGGAUUAGGGUUAAGGUUGGAGCUAGGUUAGGGUUAAGGUUGGGGUUAGGUUAGGAUUAGGGUUAAGGUUGGGAUUAGUUUAGGUUAGGAUUGGGGUUAAAGUUAAGGACUGGGCAAGUGUUAUGGUUAGGAUCAGGUUAGGAUUAGGGUUAAGGUUGGGGUUAGGUUAGGUCAGGAUUGGGGUUAAAGUUAAGGACUGGCCAAGUGUUAUAGUUAGGAUCAGGUUAGGAUUAGGGUUAAUUUUGGGAUUAGGUUAGGAUUAGGGUUGAGGUUAGGUUAGGGCUGAAGCUCAGGGUGAGGAUUAAGGUUAGGGUUGGGGAGGUGGGGGUAAAAUGGGGUACUAGAAAGGCACGAAAGGUUGCAAGAUCGAGUCCCCCUGCAGACAAGGUAAAAAUCUGUCGCUCUACCCCUGAAGAAGGCAGUUAACCCACUGUUCCUAGGCCGUCAUUGUAAAUAAGAAUUUGUUCUUAACUGACUUGCCUAGUUAAGUAAAGUUAAAAUAGAAAUUAGACCAGGUGAUGGGAUAGAGAGAGAUGGAGGGGAGGUGGGGGUAAAAUGGGGUACUAUAAACCCACAACACAGUGCUGUGUCAUUAUUAGACCAGGUGAUGGAAUAGAGAGAGAUGGAGGGGAGGUGGGGGUAAAAUGGGGUACUAUAAACCCACAACACAGUGCUGUGUCAUUAUUAGACCAGGUGAUGGAAUAGAGAGAGAUGGAGGGGAGGUGGGGGUAAAAUGGGGUACUAUAAACCCACAACACAGUGCUGUGUCAUUACUAGACCAGGUGAUGGAAUAGAGAGAGAUGGAGGGGAGGUGGGGGUAAAAGGGGGUACUAUAAACCCACAACACAGUGCUGUGUCAUUAUUAGACCAGGUGAUGGAAUAGAGAGAGAUGGAGGGGAGGUGGGGGUAAAAGGGGGUACUAUAAACCCACAACACAGUGCUGUGUCAUUACUAGACCAGGUGAUGGGAUAGAGAGAGAUGGAGGGGAGUAGUUGUGUGUGGAUGGUGUGUAGUCGACAGUGUGCUAAACAGCGAGGACGUUGAUGUGUGGAUUAGAUCAUGAUGGUUGUGAUUGUCACCGUUUGUCACUCAAAGCCAAAGGUUCAGAUGCUCCCGGUGUUUUCCAUCUGUCUGUGCAGUCAGAUUUUUACAGAGAAUAACUUAUUAUGGUUAGAGGACAGAGAGUCUGCUUCCCAAACGGACCCCUAUUCCCUAUAUAGGGCCCUAUAUGCCUCUGGUCAAAGUAUUGCACUAUAUAGGGAAUAGGGUGCCAUAGGUCCCUGUUAAAAGUAGUGCACUAUGUAGGGAAUAAGGUGCCAUAGGGCCUUGUUCAAAGUAGUGCACUAUGUAGGGAAUAAGGUGCCAUAGGGCCCUGUUCAAAGUAGUGCACUAUGUAGGGAAUAAGGUGCCAUUUGGGAGGCAUGCUGUCUUUUUCUCCAUGGAGGGUUUACUGUUGAAACCAUCAUCUAGUCCCUUUAGUCAAAACCCUUUAGGUUAUCCCAUAGUAAUAAUAAUGAUACUGGUACAGAUGUUGUUUUUAUAGAAAUUACAGUAUAUCCAUUGAUAUAGUUGAUGACUUUUAUAUUAUGGGAGAGAAUUUAAAAAAUAUAAUAAAAAAUGUCUAUAUUUAGCUUCUCUAUUUUACCCUUUGGGUUUCGCUUGUUUUGUCUGCAUAAAUUAUACGACUAUGAUUAUUUGUACCCGAUGAAAAACUGAACAAACAAAUAUAUAUAUAUAUAUAUAUAUAUAUAUAUAUAGACCAACAAUGUAUUAAUGGAGACGUUUGAGCUGUACAUCAAAGGUGUUCUCUCUUGAAACACAAAAUACACAACUGUCAUGUUUUAGUUGUAGGCUACAACACCAACGGUUUGGGGUUAAAGCUUUUCUCGUUGUCUUUAUGGAGUCGUCAUGACGACUGGAUCAUGACACACUACAAGUAAAUGCAAUCAUAAUGUACAUAUUAUCAUGGUAUUCUUUGGGGGGUCAGCUGUACUAUUUUGCCGACAGACACACACAGCCUGUACACAGUCUUCACUACUACUAGACAGACACACACAGCCUGUACACAGUCUUCACUACUACUAGACAGACACACACAGCCUGUACACAGUCUUCACUACUACUAGACAGACACACACAGCCUGUACACAGUCUUCACUACUACUAGACAGACACACACAGCCUGUACACAUUAUUCACUACUACUAGACAGGCGCACACACAGCCUGUACACAGUCUUCACUACUACUAGACAGACACACACAGCCUGUACACAGUCUUCACUACUACUAGACAGACACACACAGCCUGUACACAGUCUUCACUACUACUAGACAGACACACACAGCCUGUACACAGUCUUCACUACUACUAGACAGACACACACAGCCUGUACACAGUCUUCACUACUACUAGACAGACACACACAGCCUGUACACAGUCUUCACUACUACUAGACAGACACACACAGCCUGUACACAGUCUUCACUACUACUAGACAGACACACACAGCAUGUACACAGUCUUCACUACUACUAGACAGACACACACAGCCUGUACACAGUCUUCACUACUACUAGACAGACACACACAGCCUGUACACAGUCUUCACUACUACUGGGCUGUAAGACAUGUCAAUGUCCUGUACACUGUUGUUGUUUGUUUGUUCGGCUUUUUUUUGUUUUUGUUUACAUUGACUUGUCUUUCAUUUGGGUUUUGAUAUCAUUUGUAACGUGACCUCCUUUGUAAUGUUAUUUUCUAGAACUCAGCCUUUACACUUUGAAAAAAAACUGUUUGAUUAAUUAGAAAUAUAUAUGACUUGUGAAGAAAAAAAAUGACGUUUAUGUAAAUAUGAAAAAUGAAGCUGUUGGAGCGGCGAGAGGAAACGCCCAGCUCACCUCACUCAGCUAAAUACUUCCUUACACCCCUCUUUUCUUCCUUAUAUUCCCCCUUCCUCCUUUCCUCCCCCCUUUCCUCCCUCCUUUCUUCCUGAUAUCCCCCUCCCUCCUUUCCUCCCCCCUCCCCCCCCUUCCUCCCUCCUUUCCUCCCCCCU